UACGUAGGGUGCGAGCGUUGUCCGGAAUUAUUGGGCGUAAAGGGCUCGUAGGCGGUUUGUCGCGUCGGGAGUGAAAUCCCCGGGCUUAACCUGGGAAUGGCAUUUGGGACUGCAAGGCUGGAGUGUGGCAGAGGAGACUGGAAUUCCUGGUGUAGCAGUGAAAUGCGUAGAUAUCAGGAGGAAUACCGAUGGCGAAGGCAGGUCUCUGGGCUGACACUGACGCUCAUGCACGAAAGCGUGGGGAGCAAACAGG
rnacentral:rRNA from 1 species